GGCCAGCAGCCGCGGUAAUACAGAGGUCCCAAGCGUUGUUCGGAUUCACUGGGCGUAAAGGGUGCGUAGGUGGUGGGGUAAGUCGGAUGUGAAAGCUCGGAGCUCAACUCCGAAAUGGCAUUGGAAACUGCCCUGCUAGAGGAUUGGAGGGGGGACUGGAAUACUUGGUGUAGCAGUGAAAUGCGUAGAUAUCAAGUGGAACACCAGUGGCGAAGGCGAGUCCCUGGACAAUUCCUGACACUGAGGCACGAAAGCUAGGGGAGCAAACAGGAUUAGAUACCCUGGUAGUCCUAGCCGUAAACGGUGCACGUUUGCUGUAAAAGGAAUCGACCCCUUUUGUGGCGUAGCCAACGCGUUAAACGUGCCGCCUGGGAAGUACGGUCGCAAGAUUAAAACUUAAAGGAAUUGGCGGGGGAC
rnacentral:rRNA from 1 species